CGCCCGGGGCGCGCACGCCGUGGGGGCGGAGGGGAGAGAAGCGCGGCGCGGGGGGUGGGGCUGCGCCAGGGGCGGGGCCUGUGCCCCGAUGAUUGGCGUGGAGUGCAGAGCUCUUCCCAGGGUAAAGACCGGCGGGCAGCUCGCCUCUGAGAGUGCCGAAGGUGACAGCGGUGUCACAGAAGUAAAGCCUCUCCACUACCUUCAGACGUUUUCGAAGAAGGACUCCUCGCCUCUCCUAGACCACAAACUAUCUGGAGCUGAGCCAGUGAACAAUCCAUCAUCCGGAGACCCUCUUGUGCCCUGGCUUCCUGGCUGUGCCAUGACGCACAGCUAGAUGGUGCUAUGCCCAAGGCCCCAUUCUGGAGCUCUAGGACUAAUGUAAAGUUUGCCUUCUUCCCCUAAGAAGUUAUCGGUGCUGACCCCAUCUUGCCUCAUAUCCGUUUUCCUCAGUGACCACCAGAAGUCCAAAUCCCAGCCUCUGCAGUGAUUCACUAUCACCCUGACACAUCGUCCCCAUCCUGCUCUUCACGUAUCUGAUAUGGACAUCCCACGUUUUGCCUGUCCAGUACCCUGCCCUCCUUCUCUCGAUGACUGCAUUGCAGUUUUCCUUUGAAGAACCAUUCCCUUACUUGCCAACAUGCGGUUCUGGUGAGUUCUGUCCACCGUAAGUGGGCAGCGGACCCAGGCCUGGCCAAUCAGAGAUGCCUCCACACUAGCUACAGUGGACGGUUAGGGUCGGGAUUUCACUGGUGUGAUAAGGGAAGAGGCGGUGGCUGAAGACUGAGUCUACCUGUUGGACAGCCAUCCACUGCUCUGUGGGGAGAAGCUGCCUGAGAACAGAGCCAACGCAGAGGAGAGCACCCUGGGGACAUGUUUGGGACCCCGAUGCCUCUGAGACGAAAGCCAGCAGUCCCACUGGCCUUCAGGCAUGUGAGCAAAAUAAAUUCUCUUUUCUUUUGCUUAAUUAAGUUUGA
rnacentral:lncRNA from 1 species